GACGAACGCUGGCGGCGUGCUUAACACAUGCAAGUCGAACGGAAAGGCCCUGCUUUUGUGGGGUGCUCGAGUGGCGAACGGGUGAGUAACACGUGAGUAACCUGCCCUUGACUUUGGGAUAACUUCACGAAACUGGGGCUAAUACCGGAUAGGAGCUCCUGCUGCAUGGUGGGGGUUGGAAAGUUUCGGCGGUUGGGGAUGGACUCGCGGCUUAUCAGCUUGUUGGUGGGGUAGUGGCUUACCAAGGCUUUGACGGGUAGCCGGCCUGAGAGGGUGACCGGCCACAUUGGGACUGAGAUACGGCCCAGACUCCUACGGGAGGCAGCAGUGGGGAAUAUUGCACAAUGGGCGGAAGCCUGAUGCAGCAACGCCGCGUGCGGGAUGACGGCCUUCGGGUUGUAAACCGCUUUCGCCUGUGGCGAAGCGUGAGUGACGGUAAUGGGUAAAGAAGCACCGGCUAACUACGUG
rnacentral:rRNA from 1 species